CAGUGGGGAAUAUUGGACAAUGGGCGAAAGCCUGAUCCAGCAAUGCCGCGUGAGUGAUGAAGGCCCUAGGGUUGUAAAGCUCUUUUACCCGGGAAGAUAAUGACUGUACCGGGAGAAUAAGCCCCGGCUAACUCCGUGCCAGCAGCCGCGGUAAUACGGAGGGGGCUAGCGUUGUUCGGAAUUACUGGGCGUAAAGCGCACGUAGGCGGCUUUGUAAGUCAGAGGUGAAAGCCCGGGGCUCAACCCCGGAUGUGCCUUUGAGACUGCAUCGCUUGAACACGGGAGAGGUGAGUGGAAUUCCGAGUGUAGAGGUGAAAUUCGUAGAUAUUCGGAAGAACACCAGUGGCGAAGGCGGCUCACUGGACCGUUGUUGACGCUGAGGUGCGAAAGCGUGGGGAGCAAACAGGAUUAGA
rnacentral:rRNA from 1 species